AUUGAACGCUGGCGGCAGGCCUAACACAUGCAAGUCGAACGAGUGGCGGACGGGUGAGUAAUGUAUGGGAAACUGCCCGAUGGAGGGGGAUAACUACUGGAAACGGUAGCUAAUACCGCAUACCAUCGGAUGUGCCCAGAUGGGAUUAGCUAGUAGGUUGGGUAACGGCUUACCUAGGCGACGAUCCCUAGCUGGUCUGAGAGGAUGACCAGCCACACUGGGACUGAGACACGGCCCAGACUCCUACGGGAGGCAGCAGUGGGGAAUAUUGCACAAUGGGCGAAAGCCUGAUGCAGCCAUGCCGCGUGUAUGAAGAAGGCCUUCGGGUUGUAAAGUACUUUCAGCCAGGAGGCGUUACCCGCAGAAGAAGCACCGGCUAACUCCGUGCCAGCAGCCGCGGUAAUAC
rnacentral:rRNA from 1 species